UGACACUCUUAAAAUGUUUCCCUCACACUAGGAUUUUAGGUCAUCAUAAAUUAAAAUUUGAUUUUCUUUACUCAGAAAAUAUUAGGAUAAUGGGAUUAUCUGUUUAUUUUCUGAAAUUUGUGGAAUCAAACACUU